AUUCAAUCACAGCCUCAAGUUCAAAAGUGAAUUAAAACUCAAAGAAGCCUGGGGACAGGGACAAGAGUACUUCUGUCAUUCAUUCUCUUCCCCUGCUUCCUUGGGGACAAGGGUGGCCUGGAGGAACAAUAGUGUCCCCUGGCCCCUUCUUCCUGCAUUGGGUUAGAAAAGGCAGCAGAAAGCAGUGGGGAUGACAAAGACACACACACACACACACACACACACACACACACACACACACACACACACACACCAGGCUUGAGAAGGGAGGAGGAGGAGGCGUCUCUGGCUGGACGGACAGACUGUUAUUUUGGUGGUGGGCAUGGUCCCAGAUAGGGGCAGCGUUCCCCUUUUUCCUGGCUUUUCAGGGAGAGCAGCAAGAGAAAGAAAGAAGCAAACGAAAUUCCUGAAUGGAUAAGAGAUGCUACGUCAGCGGUACUGGAGCCGCAUCCUCCACUCCACGAGAAGAGAAGAGCUAGGAGAGACCAGCGGGCGGUAGCUGCGGCGAGUGGCCUCUCCGUGCAGCACAGAGGCAAGAAGCAGCCAUCCAUCCAGAAGCAGCCUCCGUGUUCCGUUUGUCCGGAUGUCAUCGUAGGUGGCCGGCAUCUCUGGCUUUGGGGCAGACAUCCUGCACUACAUUCCAGAUCUGAUGAGGCAUGGCUGCCCCAGGAUUACUGGGCUCGGACCCGAGCAGUGGUAGGAAGGAUCCUAUAUAAGUCAUGUGAGACAUAGAAUGUUCAGAUCAACUGAAGCUGAAACAAGCCUUUGGCAUCAUAUAUAACCCAGAAAGGGACACAGCUGAUCCCAGAGGACUCAAGGCUAUGGGUGAUGUUGAAGGUGUGGAAGAAUCAAGUUGGAAAGACCAGCAGGAGACAGACAGAGUAAGGUUCCUUGAAUGCUUGGUUUAUGUGCCUGGCUGAAGGAGACACCCAUGGCCUUGCAGAGGGAGCAUUCUGGUGGGAAAGCAGACACAACCCACCCUAGGCCCGUGGUUUCCCUGCAAGAAGCCCAGUGGCUUUCUGGAGGACACUUUUCCUGGAGGAAGUGACUCAAGCACAAGUUCUUGGUGGCCUCAAUUCACGGUCUCUUCCUGUUGAUCAG
rnacentral:lncRNA from 1 species